rnacentral:rRNA from 1 species
AGUGAACGCUGGCGGUAGGCCUAACACAUGCAAGUCGAACGGUAGCACAGUAAGAGCUUGCUCUUACGGGUGGCGAGUGGCGGACGGGUGAGGAAUACAUCGGAAUCUACUUUUUCGUGGGGGAUAACGUAGGGAAACUUACGCUAAUACCGCAUACGACCUACGGGUGGAAGCAGGGGAUCUUCGGACCUUGCGCGAUUGAAUGAGCCGAUGUCGGAUUAGCUAGUUGGCGGGGUAAAGGCCCACCAAGGCGACGAUCCGUAGCUGGUCUGAGAGGAUGAUCAGCCACACUGGAACUGAGACACGGUCCAGACUCCUACGGGAGGCAGCAGUGGGGAAUAUUGGACAAUGGGCGCAAGCCUGAUCCAGCCAUACCGCGUGGGUGAAGAAGGCCUUCGGGUUGUAAAGCCCUUUUGUUGGGAAAGAAAAGCAGCAGGUUAAUACCCCGCUGUUCUGACGGUACCCAAAGAAUAAGCACCGGCUAACUUCGUG